GUGGCUGUGGUGAAGCGGUUAACACAAACGACUGUGACUCGUUCAUUCGUGGGUUCAAAUCCCAUCAGCCACCCCA
rnacentral:tRNA from 1 species